GACGAACGCUGGCGGCGUGCUUAACACAUGCAAGUCGAACGGAAAGGCCCUGUUUUUGUGGGUUGCUUGAGUGGCGAACGGGUGAGUAACGCGUAAGUAACCUGCCCUUGACUUUGGGAUAACUUCAGGAAACUGGGGCUAAUACCGGAUAGGAGUUCUUGCUGCAUGGUGGGGGUUGGAAAGUUUCGGCGGUUGGGGAUGGACUCGCGGCUAAUCAGUUUGUUGGUGGGGUAGUGGCUUACCAAGGCUUUGAUGGGUAGCCGGCCUGGGAGGGUGACCGGCCACAUUGGGACUGAGAUACGGCCCAGACUCCUACGGGAGGCAGCAGUGGGGAAUUUUGCACAAUGGGCGGAAGCCUGAUGCAGCAACGCCGCGUGGGGGAUGACGGCCUUCGGGUUGUAAACCGCUUUCGCCUGUGACGAAGCGUGAGUGACGGUAAUGGGUAAAGAAGCACCGGCUAACUACGUG
rnacentral:rRNA from 1 species